rnacentral:rRNA from 1 species
AGGAAUAUACCUUGAAGAGCGGGACAACUUGGGGAAACUCAAGCUAAUACCGCAUAAUAUCUUAGGAUGAAAGCUGGGGACCUUCGGGCCUGGCGCUUUAAGAUUAGCCUGCGUCCGAUUAGCUAGUUGGUAGGGUAAAGGCCUACCAAGGCGACGAUCGGUAGCUGGUCUGAGAGGAUGGCCAGCCACACUGGAACUGAGACACGGUCCAGACUCCUACGGGAGGCAGCAGUGGGGAAUAUUGGACAAUGGGGGCAACCCUGAUCCAGCAAUGCCGCGUGUGUGAAGAAGGCCUGAGGGUUGUAAAGCACUUUCAGUGGGGAGGAGGGUUGAUAGGUUAAGAGCUAAUUAACUGGACGUUACCCACAGAAGAAGCACCGGCUAACUCCGUGCCAGCAGCCGCGGUAAUACGGAGGGUGCAAGCGUUAAUCGGAAUUACUGGGCGUAAAGGGUGCGUAGGUGGUCAAUUAAGUUAUGUGUAAAAUCCCUGGGCUCAACCUGGGCAGGCCAUAUAAUACUGAAUGACUCGAGUAUGGGAGAGGGUAGUGGAAUUUCCGGU